UGAGGUGUGCCAUCUUGAUGACACAGUCCUGGGUUAGGGUGUCUUCCUGCCAGCCUGCCAGCACUGGGACUCAGCCGCCGCGUGGUCUGAGGAGGCCUCUCAUACUGGUGCAGAAUGGGACUCAACCCAAUGUGAUGGAGGGUGUCAAAGUAGCAGCAUUAUUCCACUCUGCAUCCCUCCCACACCCACCCCAAGAAAUCUUACUUGGACCCCAGAGCACUGAGGCUGGGCCACAGGAGAGGCAGGAAACCAAUAUCUAAUCCUGAGCUCAGAAAAAAUAGAAAUGCCAGAAUCUGAGAGACGCCUCAAGAAAGUUUCAGGGUCCAUGGCUGAUUCAUGUCAAUGUAUGGCAAAAACCACUACAAUAUUGUAAAGUAAUUAGCCUCCAACUAAUAAAAAUAAAUGGAAAGAAAAACAAAGAAAGUUUCAGGGAAACCACAAGCUUGAGGGACAUCAGGGUGGGGAGCUAGAGGCAGAUGGACCUGCGUUUGAGUUCAGCCCUGCACUUUAUUUCCUGUGAGUUUGGAAAUUUUGCUUAAAUACUUUCUUAGCCUGAGUUUUCUUUAUUUGCGAUAGUUGGACAUUGAGGUUGUUGUUAUUUUUCACAAUUGUGUACAAUACUGCGAUCUCUAUCUGUACAUACAUCCUUGAAUUAAUCUAUGAUAAUUUAGAAGAGAUUCCUAGAAGCUGCAUCACUUGGUCAAAGAGGUCCAAGACUCCUGUGUCACAUGGAUCCCAUAAAGUAAAAGGAAAUAUUCCUUCAGAAAAAGAAAAAAGAAAAAGGAUAUGAAGGGGUCCUCAAAAUCUUAAUGUCUUCCCAUCGUUGAUCCAUCAGCUGCCUGCUUUCAGUUCCCACAUUUUGGAGUUUUCUUUGUGUCCUUAUUUUCUACAGUGCUAUAGAAUAAGGUCAAUGGCUUAGUAAUUAUUUAUAUUUUGCUGUAUUUUUUUACAUAUAUGUUUUUAGUCAGAAGCAAAGUUUUUAGAAUUAUACCAAGUAAUAUCUAUGCCAAGUAAUACCUGUGUGUUUAAGUAAAAGGUAAUAGACCUAUGUUGUUGUUGUUUUCCCCCAAAUAUAGGCAUAUCUCAGAAAUACUGCUUGUUCGGU